GAGUGGCCUCCUGCGUGCUGCAGUGACCAGACGUCCUCAUUCCAGCCUUCCCAGAGACAACAAGGAGCCGGUGACCCUUUCUUCAAGCACCAAAGAAAAGCCAACCGACCCCACAAAGAACUGGACGUUGCCAGCCAGGCCUCACACGUGACUAGACUCUGACAGAGGUGGCUCUGCGCUCUUCACCGCUAUCUGUUCACAGCGAGCGGUACUUUCUCCUCAUGUCACAAAUGAGGAAAGGGGAAGCGGGCGAUGGAAUCAAACACACCACAAUGUGCAGUUUACUCCCUGAGGCUGUCCCGAGUGCUGCUGAGGCAGCAGUUCAUCUCAAGGCCACCCACCAUGGCAGGAGAGGCUCUGCUGAAGGCAAGCAGCCUUCUGGGGAUCCCCUGUUCUCUGCAGUCUGAUUCUGUGUGUCUCGACUGUGUUCCUUUGGUUCCUCUUCAGUUCUUAACGACAGUGUCCCAACAGAUCGAUGGGAAAAGAAGCCCUUGUCUUCCCCUGGGCAGCAAUCCCAACAGGUUGUUUCAAAGCCCAAACCCCAGAGUAAGUGAAUAUAUCAGGGAGUCCUGCAGCCUGCACCCCAGUCCUCAGCCCAGAGGCUUUCCCCUAGCCUGUCUUUCAGGCCACCCUCAGUAAGGUCUGGUGAGGCCUGAGGAGGUGGUUGUCAUGGCAGGGAGACCUUUAAGGCUGUCCGGGGCUCUGGCUGCUUUUACACACUUUGAAAUUCUUUGGUCACUCAAUAAACAAACAAACAAACAAACAAACAAAUAAAAUAAACCAGAAAAAGCAAAGCCUUCAUUCUGGUUCACAAGGCUU